GGAUAAACCGAAAUAUUUCUACAAAAAACUGGAAUAAUCCAGAGAAGAUGAGCACAGCCCCUGUGCAAGGAUGACAUGCACAUUGUGAAGUGUUUCACAUUUUA